UCCUCGUCGUCCGACGGUACCUUGCGUAAGCCACGGCUAACUACGUGCACUCCUACGGGAGGCAGCAGUGGGGAAUCUUGCGCAAUGGGCGAAAGCCUGACGCAGCCAUGCCGCGUGGAUGAUGAAGGUCUUAGGAUUGUAAAAUCCUUUCAGCGGGGACGAUAAUGACGGUACCCGCAGAAGAAGCCCCGGCUAACUUCGUGCCAGCAGCCGCGGUAAUACGAAGGGGGCUAGCGUUGCUCGGAUUUACUGGGCGUAAAGGGCGCGUAGGCGGACAGUUUAGUCAGAGGUGAAAGCCCAGGGCUCAACCUUGGAAUUGCCUUUGAUACUGGCUGUCUUGAGUACGGGAGAGGUGAGUGGAACUCCGAGUGUAGAGGUGAAAUUCGUAGAUAUUCGGAAGAACACCAGUGGCGAAGGCGACUCACUGGCCCGUUACUGACGCUGAGGCGCGAAAGCGUGGGGAGCAAACAGGAUUAGAUACCCUGGUAGUCCACGCCGUAAACGAUGAGUGCUAGCUGUCGGGCGGCAUGCCGUUCGGUGGCGCAGCUAACGCAUUAAGCACUCCGCCUGGGGAGUACGGUCGCAAGAUUAAAACUUAAAGGAAUUGACG
rnacentral:rRNA from 1 species